ACAAGUACCGUGAGGGAAAGUUGCAAAGCACUUUGAAGAGAGAGUUAAAGAGGACGUGAAACCGGUAAGGUGGAAACGGAUGGAGCCAGCGCAUCUGGCCUGUAUUCAGCUAUUCGGCCGCUGGCGUCAGGGCGCCGCUCUCCAGAUUGGGACGGUGCUCUGUGCUGCUGGUGGUCGCGUGGUGCAUUUGCAGGUGGAGUGCGCUGAGGCGCUUAGGGUAGCGGCAUGAGCUCAGUUUUGAGGCCAGCCCGCAAGGGUCUGGUACCCGAGCUGGGGGAGUGCUGUUUGUCCUGGGUGUUGUCUCGAGUAUGGCUUACGGGCUCGGGUGGGCGCCGAGCUGGCAACCGGUGGCGGUCGCAUGCGACACGUGCCAGUGGUCAGUUCGGUCCUAUUCGAGCUCACAUGCUCAUCCUCGGUGUAAAAGCUGGUCAUCCAUCCGACCCGUCUUGAAACACGGACCAAGGAGUUUAGCGUGUGCGCGAGUCAUUGGGCGUU
rnacentral:rRNA from 1 species